AUGGCCAGAGACAGGAAGGUGCUUUGAGGCUUUGGGGCUCCCCGAACCCCACCUUACCCUCACUCUGCAUGCUCCUGCCCUUUAUCACUGCGGUUUCCUUCACAGGAAGUGUGGUUUUCCUAAGUCUUUGACCCUUGCUCAUGUAGCUCAUUGUGGAUAAUUCACCGUUUAGCUCUAUGAUCAUCAUCAGCUUCUUCUGCUCUGCCCAGGGAAAGCAUUCAGUGGCUUGGCAAUGAGGGAAGGCAUGGAAACGGUGAGAACAAGGAGGCAGUGAGGUUCGUAGUACAGUGGUUGUAUUGGGGUAUUGAUGAUGGGCAGCUCACGGCCGUCAUGCGGACCUGGAGAGAGUUCUCCCACUCACCACAUCUCAGGUAUGUGAUGUUUGCAGCUUUGGUUAGAGGAACUUCUUUUUGCACUGAGUGGCGGUUAAUGCAGAGAUUUGCAAAUAGACCAAGAACUUCGAAUAAAUGGCUUCGUGUAUUCAUCCACAGAUAUGGAUCGGUCCUCACAGUGAAAUGAAUGGCGUCUAGAAGUUCUAUUGACUGCCUGGAAAGUCUUGGUGUGGCAAAGCUGUCUGUCAUCCUGUGACAUGAGCACAUCUUUGGAGUCCAACGGAUGGAUAAGGAAGCAUCACCUUCGAGGAUUCCCAGACCCACCUUUUCAGGAACUGCUGCAAAGAUGGCACAGUGGCAGAAAGUAGAGGCGGUGGUUCACUGGAGCAUGGACAAAUUCCUAGUGACCAGUUCCACAAGAGAGGAUGAAUCUUUCUCCACCUGCAUAGGCACAAGAAGCCAAGCAGUGGCCUGAGUGGGGUGGAGCUAGCUAUCUCCCUCCAAUGCCACCACCUAAUACCACAGUGCUGUGGGCUGGUGAGGGGCAGGACCAACUCUCUCUUGUGAGGGGUGGGGUCUGCUCUUCCAUGCCUGUCAUCAUUGAUGCUCUCCCUUCAUUGGUCUGUGAUGGACAGCACCAGCUCUCCCAUACACCGCUAGUGCCACCUUAUAACUGCCACCAAGGGGCGGAGCCAGCUCUUCUGCACCCACAGACAUUAAUAUGGCUUCAGGCCACAGACCCAUCCAUGGGCAUCUGUAUGGGCUUUGGUGGUA